rnacentral:lncRNA from 1 species
GUUGACGCAAAGAAAAAUUUCUUUUCAUGGAGGAUUCUCGAAGAAGAAAACUUUGUUUUCAUGUAUGGUGGUCCACAUACAGUAAAAUUAGGACUGGGAUUCACAAGCAAAAAAAAAAGGUUGAGAACUCUUGCGCUAAUUAAUGAUUCCAGAUUAUCCUACCUUCGACUAAAUUAUUUUUUCCAUUCACUGCCUCGAAAUUUUUCGUGGAAUGAAACAUCUCAUCCAGAUAAAGGUUCAGUUAAAGAAACGGCUAAACUCAGCCAACCACUAAAAUCACUCGACAGUGAGAUGUAUUUGCGGUACAUUAUGCAAAAAAAAAUAAAAUAAAAUAAAAUUGAUAGUUAAUUACAUAUUAGCAAAUUAUCCCAGUCCUAAUUUUACUGUAUGUGGACCACCAUACAUGAAAGUGGUAUUUUCUUUUUCGAGAAUUUUCUAUGAAAAGAAAGUUUUUCUUUGUUUUGCGUCAACUGAAGAAAGUUGGAACUUUCUUUCAUUGACGCAAAACAAAAA